rnacentral:rRNA from 1 species
AACGAACGCUGGCGGCAGGCCUAACACAUGCAAGUCGAGCGAGAUCUUCGGAUCUAGCGGCGGACGGGUGAGUAACGCGUGGGAAUAUGCCCUUCUCUACGGAAUAGCCUCGGGAAACUGGGAGUAAUACCGUAUACGCCCUUAGGAGGAAAGAUUUAUCGGAGAAGGAUUAGCCCGCGUUGGAUUAGGUAGUUGGUGGGGUAAUGGCCUACCAAGCCUACGAUCCAUAGCUGGUUUGAGAGGAUGAUCAGCCACACUGGGACUGAGACACGGCCCAGACUCCUACGGGAGGAAGCAGUGGGGAAUCUUAGACAAUGGGGGCAACCCUGAUCUAGCCAUGCCGCGUGAGUGAUGAAGGCCUUAGGGUUGUAAAGCUCUUUCAGCUGGGAAGAUAAUGACGGUACCAGCAGAAGAAGCCCCGGCUAACUCCGUGCCAGCAGCCGCCGUAA